rnacentral:tRNA from 1 species
AUUUAUAUAGUUUAAUAAAACAUUACACUUUCACUGUAAAAUUAAAGGCUUACUUUUAUAAAUA